ACCUUUUAAAUCGUUAGUGGUGCUUCUAAUGCAUUUAUAAUUUAAGCUUUAGACCUCAAAUCAGUCAGGACUACCCGCUGAACUUAAGCAUAUCAAUAAGCGGAGGAAAAGAAACUAACAAGGAUUCCCCUAGUAACGGCGAGUGAAGUGGGAAAAGCUCAACUUUGUAAUCUGGCAGCUUCGCUGUCCGAGUUGUAGUCUCGAGAAGUGUUUUCCGCGCUGGAUCGUGUAUGAGUCUGUUGGAAUACAGCGUCAUAGAGGGUGAGAACCCCGUUCGUGACACGACUACCAGUGCUUUGUGAUACAUUUUCGAUGAGUCGAGUUGUUUGGGAAUGCAGCUCAAAUUGGGUGGUAAAUUCCAUCUAAAGCUAAAUAUUGGCGAGAGACCGAUAGCAAACAAGUACCGUGAGGGAAAGAUGAAAAGCACUUUGGAAAGAGAGUUAACAGUACGUGAAAUUGUUGAAAGGGAAACGUUUGAAGUCAGACGUGCGUUGUGCGAUUCAGCUCCGGUUCGCCGGAGUGUAUUUCGUACUAUUGCAGGCCAGCAUCGGUUUGGCGAGCCGGAUAAAGGUUAGAGAAAGGUAGCGGUCCAGGCCGUGUUAUAGUCUUUAACUGAAUACGGAUUGCUAGACCGAGGGACGCAGCGCGCCGCAAGGCAAAGCUUUCGGGCUUUUCGCGCUUAGGAUGCUGGUGAAAUGGC
rnacentral:rRNA from 1 species